rnacentral:tRNA from 2 species
GAUUCAGUAGCUCAGCAGGUAGAGCAACGGCCUUUUAAGCCGUGGGUCCUGGGUUCGAAUCCCAGCUGGAUCA